UACGUAGGGGGCUAGCGUUGUCCGGAAUCAUUGGGCGUAAAGCGCGUGUAGGCGGCCCGGUAAGUCCGCUGUGAAAGUCGGGGGCUCAACCCUCGGAUGCCGGUGGAUACUGUCGGGCUAGAGUGCGGAAGAGGCGAGUGGAAUUCCUGGUGUAGCGGUGAAAUGCGCAGAUAUCAGGAGGAACACCAAUUGCGAAGGCAGCUCGCUGGGACGUGACUGACGCUGAGGCGCGAAAGCGUGGGGAGCGAACAGG
rnacentral:rRNA from 1 species